rnacentral:rRNA from 1 species
CCCCUAGAUGUUCUGGGCCACACGCGCGCUACACUGAACAGUUCAACAAGUCUUAACCUUGGCCGAUAGGUCUGGGUAAUCUUUGAACGCUGUUCGUGAUUGGGAUAGACCUUUGCAAUUAUGGGUCUUCAACGAGGAAUUCCUAGUAAACGCAAGCCAUCAGCUUGCAUUGAUUACGUCCCUGCCCUUUGUACACACCGCCCGUCGCACCUACCGAUUGAAUGGUCCGGUGAAAUCUCGGGACGGCGGCUUGGUCGCUUGCGUCCGACUGCUGAAACUUGAUUAAACCAUAUCAUUUAGAGGAAGGUGAAGUCGUAACA